rnacentral:lncRNA from 10 species
UCAAAAGGGCCAGGUCACCAAGCACAUGGGGGCAGCAGAGCAAGUUGCAAAGUCUAUCCAGUGGAUGGCACAACUGCAAGGACCAUGGAUCAUCCAGCAAAGCCCAGGCUUGGUCUUACCAUUUGCUCCCUGAAUCUGUCAUGCAAUCAACAUGCUGGGUUGCUGGUGAGUACAAGAAAAUUAGGAUGACUGCGGAACAGACCUGAACCUACCUGAAGCCUCAGAGACGAGCUCAGCCUCGCCUCAGCCUGAAGCAGAACAGUCCUGGCUGACCCACAGGUAGACUGCA